AGCCGGUCUUCCAACCAAAAAUCGGGUCACGACAGCUGGCGACUCUGCUGGGGACACCCAUAAGAGGGUCAGGCCCAGAACCGCUAACUUAUGGACUUAAAUACCCUUUUGUUUUUGUUUGUUUGUUUCUAUUUUGUGUUCUUUCUUUAGAAAGUUGAAUUAUUAUCUAAAACUAUCUUGUAUCAUUAUUUGCAAGUUCAUGUGAUUAUUUUUUGCAACUUAUUGAGGGGUGGAAAUUUUUUUGUAUGCUUCCUCACACACUAACGCCAUACACUUGAGUUUGCACACACAUGUAUACCCUGGACCCGGAUAUUAGUGAUUAAGAAUUGAGAUAGAAGGGACAUUUGUUUUGCCGGUAAGUGACCUUGAGUCGCAUCUGGUAUUGGCAAAAUGGACCACCCAGAUCGUUCCCAGUAUCAUGAGUUAGCGGCUUGGAGGGCUCGAUCCUUCUCGUUUCUAACAUAUGGUAUUUGGUUUCCUUUCUUCCGUGACUGGAUGCGAUUUGGUGACCUAGAAGUCUAAAGCUCUUAUCGAGUCCACUUUAAUCAAGACCUAGUACCUCCGCCAUAGGGUUGUGACAUUUAGACUAUUCAAAACCUUAUAAGUGUACCUUAUUUAGGACACGAGAAGCAUAACCCAAAC
rnacentral:lncRNA from 1 species